rnacentral:rRNA from 1 species
UACGAGGGGAGCAAGCGUUGUUCGGAUUUACUGGGCGUAAAGGGCGCGUAGGCGGCGUGACAAGUCACUUGUGAAAUCUCCGGGCUUAACUCGGAACGGUCAAGUGAUACUGUCGUGCUAGAGUACAGAAGGGGCAACUGGAAUUCUCGGUGUAGCGGUGAAAUGCGUAGAUAUCGAGAGGAACACCUGCGGCGAAGGCGGGUUGCUGGGCUGAUACUGACGCUGAGGCGCGAAAGCCAGGGGAGCAAACGGG